rnacentral:rRNA from 1 species
GAUGAACGCUGGCGGCGUGCUUAACACAUGCAAGUCGAACGGAAAGGCCCAAGCUUGCUUGGGUACUCGAGUGGCGAACGGGUGAGUAACACGUGGGUGAUCUGCCCUGCACUUCGGGAUAAGCCUGGGAAACUGGGUCUAAUACCGGAUAGGACCACAUUUUGGAUGGUGUGGUGGAAAGUUUUUCGGUGUGGGAUGAGCUCGCGGCCUAUCAGCUUGUUGGUGGGGUAAUGGCCUACCAAGGCGUCGACGGGUAGCCGGCCUGAGAGGGUGUACGGCCACAUUGGGACUGAGAUACGGCCCAGACUCCUACGGGAGGCAGCAGUGGGGAAUAUUGCACAAUGGGCGCAAGCCUGAUGCAGCGACGCCGCGUGGGGGAGGACGGCCUUCGGGUUGGAAACUCCUUUCGCUAGGGACGAAGCGUUAUGUGACGGUACCUGGAGAAGAAGCACCGGCUAACUACGUG